rnacentral:rRNA from 1 species
UACGAAGGGUGCAAGCGUUAAUCGGAAUUACUGGGCGUAAAGCGUGCGUAGGCGGUGACUUAAGUCUGUUGUGAAAUCCCCGGGCUCAACCUGGGAAUGGCAAUGGAUACUGGGUCGCUAGAGUGUGAUAGAGGAUGGUGGAAUUCCCGGUGUAGCGGUGAAGUGCGUAGAGAUCGGGAGGAACAUCAGUGGCGAAGGCGGCCAUCUGGAUCAACACUGACGCUGAGGCACGAAAGCGUGGGGAGCAAACAGG